rnacentral:rRNA from 1 species
CCUACGGGAGGCAGCAGUGAGGAAUAUUGGUCAAUGGGCGCGAGCCUGAACCAGCCAAGUAGCGUGAAGGAUGACUGCCCUACGGUUUGUAAACUUCUUUUAUAAAGGAAUAAAGUUAGGCAUGUGUGCCUUUUUGUAUGUACUUUAUGAAUAAGGAUCGGCCAACUCCGGGCCAGCAGCCGCGGUAAUACGGAGGGUCCGAGCGUUAUCCGGAUUUAUUGGGUUUAAAGGGAGCGUAGAUGGGUUGUUAAGUCAGUUGUGAAAGUUUGCGGCUCAACCGUAAAAUUGCAAUUGAUACUGGCAGCCUUGAGUACAGUUGAGGUAGGCGGAAUUCGUGGUGUAGCGGUGAAAUGCUUAGAGAUCACGAAGAACUCCGAUUGCGAAGGCAGCUUACUAAACUGCCACUGACAUUGAUGCUCGAAAGUGUGGGUAUCAAACAGGAUUAGAUACCCCAGUAGUC